rnacentral:rRNA from 1 species
CCCUUAGAUGUUCUGGGCCGCACGCGCGCUACACUGAUGCAUUCAACAAGCCUAGCCUUGACCGAGAGGUCCGGGUAAUCUUUGAAACUGCAUCGUGAUGGGGCUAGAUUAUUGCAAUUAUUAACCUUCAACGAGGAAUGCCUAGUAAGCGUGAUUCAUCAAAUCGCGUUGAUUACGUCCCUGCCCUUUGUACACACCGCCCGUCGCUCCUACCGAUUGAAUGUGUUGGUGAGGAGCUCGGAUUGGCAGCAGUUGGUGGUUCGCCACCGGCUAUUGCUGAGAAGUCCUCCAAACCGCCCCAUUUAGAGGAAGGAGAAGUCGUAACA